GAUGAACGCUGGCGGCGUGCCUAAUACAUGCAAGUCGAGCGAACGGACGAGAAGCUUGCUUCUCUGAUGUUAGCGGCGGACGGGUGAGUAACACGUGGAUAACCUACCUAUAAGACUGGGAUAACUUCGGGAAACCGUAGCUAAUACCGGAUAAUAUUUUGAACCGCAUGGUUCAAAAGUGAAAGACGGUCUUGCUGUCACUUAUAGAUGGAUCCGCGCUGCAUUAGUUAGUUGGUAAGGUAACGGCUUACCAAGGCAACGAUGCAUAGCCGACCUGAGAGGGUGAUCGGCCACACUGGAACUGAGACACGGUCCAGACUCCUACGGGAGGCAGCAGUAGGGAAUCUUCCGCAAUGGGCGAAAGCCUGACGGAGCAACGCCGCGUGAGUGAUGAAGGUCUUCGGAUCGUAAAACUCUGUUAUUAGGGAAGAACAUAUGUGUAAGUAACUGUGCACAUCUUGACGGUACCUAAUCAGAAAGCCACGGCUAACUACGUG
rnacentral:rRNA from 1 species